CCCUUAGACGUUCUGGGCCGCACGCGCGCUACACUGACAAAGGCAACGAGCUACUCUUCACCGAAAGGUGUGGGUAAUCUUUUGAAACUUUGUCGUGCUGGGGAUAGAUCCUUGCAAUUUUUGAUCUUAAACGAGGAAUUCCUAGUAAGCGCAAGUCAUCAACUUGCGUUGAUUACGUCCCUGCCCUUUGUACACACCGCCCGUCGCUACUACCGAUUGAAUGGUUUAGUGAUGCCUUCGGAUCCGCGACUCGUUUGUGGAGAAGUUGGACAAACUCAGUCAUUUAGAGGAAGUAAAAGUCGUAACA
rnacentral:rRNA from 1 species